rnacentral:ncRNA from 1 species
UCAAAUUCGUUGAAGAGGAUAGUAGGAUUAUGAAAAGGCUACAAGCGAGCUGGAGUUGGUGUGAGUCCGGCAGCCGUCAUAUUUUGAAGCGUACCUUGGAGAAGAUCGCCUGAAACCGCAUGAGGGAGUAUGGCAGUCCGGUUAAAGCCGUUAUUUAUAUGAGUGGAAUCAUCCGAGUAUUUUUGCGAUGAUUCAAAAAGAGUGGUACCACGGAAGCGUUCGUCUCUUAU